rnacentral:rRNA from 1 species
AGUGAACGCUGGCGGUAGGCCUAACACAUGCAAGUCGAACGAAAGCACAGUAAGAGCUUGCUCUUACGGGUGGCGAGUGGCGGAAGGGUGAGGAAUGCAUCGGAAUCUUCUUUUACGUGGGGGAUAACGUAGGGAAACUUAUGCUAACACAGCAUAUGUCCUACGGGUGAGAGCAGGGGUUCUUUGGACUUUUCGCGAUUGAAAGAGCCGAGGUCGGAGUAGAUAGUUGGCGGGGUAAAGGCCCACCAAGGCUACGCUCCGUAGCUGGUCUGAGCGGAUGAUCAGCCACACUGGAACUGAGACACGGCACAGACUCCUACGGGAGGCAGCAGUGGGGAAUAUUGGACAAUGGGCGCAAGCCUGAUCCAGCCAUACCGCGUGAGUGAUGAAGGCCUUCUGCUGGUAAAGCCCUGUUGUUGGGAAAGAAAAGAAGCAGUUUAAUCCCCGGCUGUUCUGACGGUACCCAAAGAAUAAGCACCGGCUAACUUCGUG